GACAGAGGUCCCGAGCGUUAGGCGGAAUCACUGGGCUUAAAGCGUGUGUAGGCGGCUGCCUAAGUACCUUGUGAAAUCCCACGGCUCACCCGUGGAACUGCUUGGUAUACUGGGUGUCUUGAGCCACUUAGGGGCUACCGGAACAAAUGGUGGAGCGGUGAAAUGCGUAGAGAUGUGGAGGAACACCGAUGGCGAAGGCAGCCUUCUGGGCCAAUACUGACGCUCAUGCACGAAAGCGUGGGGAGCAAACAGG
rnacentral:rRNA from 1 species